rnacentral:tRNA from 1 species
CUCUCCGUAGCUCAGUUGGUAGAGCAAUUGACUCUUAAUCAAUGGGUCACAGGUUCGAGCCCUGUCGGGGAGA